GUGCCCGUAACUCAGUGGUAGAGUGUGAGAUUGCAAUUCAAGGGUUAUAACGCAACAGUUGCAAUAUCUUGAAGCCCCGUGUUCGACCCACGGCGGGCACU